UGCUGCCGUGCGUCUUCUUAGCGAGGCAUCUCGGCUCGGAGCGGGCCGCGGUGGAUUUGGAACAGGGUCGGAGGGAGAGGAUCUGCAAGUCCGCCAGAGCCAGGCCAUGGAGCUCGGGGAGUCGGGGAAGGUUCCUGUGAUCUUUGAUGACAUCACCCUGUACUUGCUGCAGGAAGAAUGGAUGCUGCUGGAAAAACCCAUGUGAACUUUAUGGAAGAACUAGAUAUGCAGGGUUCCACCGGAGAGAAAGGACAGUAUCUGCCACCCCAAAAGAAAGCCUGCCACGCUCCCUUCAGUGCAGAGAGCAGCACAACGGAGGAAGACUGGGAAGGAGGAAACAAGAAACCCCCAAAUCCCCGCUCUAUCAGGAAGUCGUGGUUUACAAAGUUUCUGUGGCUGAUCAUGAACGAGGAACAGACAACUCUGUUUUGUGCUGUCUGCCGAGCAUACCCAUCUGUCAGGGACAGAAGGUCACAAUUAAUAGAAGGCUACAUGGGACCAUUCGAGGUGGAAACUCUCAAAUACCAUGUCAAGAGCAAGGCCCACAUAUUCUGUGUCAAUGCCCUGGCCGCCAAGGACCCCGUCUGGGCAGCCCACCUUCAGAGUCUCAGGGAGAGUCCUGCAGAUGCUGUGGCCAGCCAUGAACACCUCCUCACUGCAGACGAUCCCACACUCUACCUGCCAGGGCCUCUGGGAGACUUUGAUGAUCUAGAUGAGCUCCCGUCUAGCCCAAGAGCCGAACCCAAGGACGCUUCAGGGAGUGGCGCCAUCCCUGCAUUGUAUUCAGACUGCGAGUCGGAUCUGAGGCAAAAAGAAAUCGGCAGUGGCACCCUCAGUCUUCCAGGAGCAGCACGUUAUUUAAGGACAGUAUUGAUUUCUGCAUCCAGGAGCCUCCUGACAAGGAGUGGCGCCCGGGGAGCUCCCUGCCACAUUCGAGGACUUGGCCGCUGUGCAUUUCCCCCGGGUGGGUGGAACCUGCUAGACCACCAGCAGGAACUCUACGGAGCAGACGAACUAUUGGUUUCCUGGGAUGUACCUAGUGCUUCCUGCUGUGGAGGAUGAAGACACUCCCCCCCAUCCUCUCAGAACAGGAACAGCAAACUUUUAUGGUUACAUCAAUGGCUCUGAACAAUGAAUCCAAAGGUAAUUUAAUUUCUUCAAAGGGAGAAAGAAGAUGGUGGCAGCGAGAGAAGCUGACAGCCAGGCCCAGGCCUCAGCUGUAGAGGCCGCCUCACACCCAGCCUCUGUGGAGACAUCCACUGCACACUGCCCUCCUCCCGGCGUGUGUGAAGGAGAAGUGGACAGCCCAGGCGUGUCAGGAGCACAUGCAGACCCUGUUCCAUUCAGAGGCCUUGGCUUGGGCAGUUUCCCUGGUUAGUAAUGGACUCCAAAGAGGUGAAGCUGCUUUGCUCGGUCCGCACAGAAAGACCAGCUCUCCACGACAAGUCGUCCCGCUUGGUCCAAGGUUACACGGGCCUUUUAAAGUGGAAACUUUAAAAUACCAUGAGGUCAGUAAGGCGUCCAGAUUGUGCGUCAAUACCAUGGAGGUCAGAGAUGACAGCCCUCAGCCUGCUCUCAGCCCAGAGAUCUCCAGCGACCUCGCGGCUAGUAUGGAGUCCUUCUUCAGGGCUGCCUCCUCCAUAGCCUACCACUCCAGCUCCAUGAAUGACUUCAAGAAAGUCUUGCAGCAGCUCUAGAACACUGGCACCACACUCUUAGGCAAGUACUGGAACCACACCACAUGUACCCAGUUCAUCAAGUAUAUCUCUGAUUCUCUGAAGAAGGAAAUCCUGAGAGACAUCCGGGCUCCUUGUGUGUGAGCCUGCUAUUGGACAGCUGCACAAACCCCUCCAGCCAGGCCUGCGUGGGGAUAUACGCACGCUCCUUGAAGCAGAUGGAAGUGAAGGAGUCCUACAUCACCCCAGCCCCCUCCCCAGUGAGACAGUAGACGGUACUUCGAGGCCAUCAUUGCUGCCCUGGAUGAGCUGGGCAUCCCUUCUGGAAGCCUGGCUGGGUGGUGGCUCUGGGGACGGAUGGGUGGGCCAUGCUGAGCUGCAAGGGAGGCCUCGUGGAGAAGUCCCGGGAGGCCGUCCCUCAGCUGCUGCCGGUGCACAGUGUGGCCCACCAGCUGCACGUGGCUGUGGUGGAUGCUUGUGGUGACAUUGAUCUGGUGAGGACGUGUGACCGGCACAUCUGGACUGUCUGCAGGUUUUACCAGUCCUCGAACAAGAGGGUCAGGGAGCUGCAAGCUAUCACAGCCCCGCUGGAGCAGGAGAUGGCUCCUCUGAAGGACUUGAGUGCUGUCAGGUGGGUGGCCAGCAAGAGGCGUACUCUGACCCCAUUGGUCGCGAGCUGGUCUGCCCCGGCUAGGCACCUCCGGAGUGUGGCCGAGUGUCGUGACCACCCUCACUGGCAAGGAAUAACGCAACACAGGAAGAUCUUCUUCAAGCAGUUUACUCAGGAUCCCUGUACUUCUUCUUCUGACCCCGGAGAGAAUCAGCCCAGCCCUUAAAUACUAAUAGCCAGCCAAUCAGGCUUAGCCACGUGGGCAUUGCUGAUAGGCUGUAUCCACGUGGAAGGCACAAGACUCAACAGGCUCCACCCAAAUAAGGACUUGUUAAUGACAGGGAGCCCGCCAGUGGGAAGGAGGAAAGUGGAAACCCGCGCCAUUUUAAGGGCGCGGGAGCAAGCAGCUCCCUACAGCGGAGGCCCCGGCUAGGCACCUCCAGAGUGUGGCAGAGGCCCUGGCUAGGCAUCUCCAGAGUGUGGCAGAGGCCAGGGCCCAGGUUGGGCAGAGGACCAAAGACAUGCUGAAGCUGGUGAAGGGCUUCCAUUUCCUCAAGCUCUGCCACCUCAUUUUGGAUUUUUUGAGCAUCUAUAAGCCCGUGUCUGAGGUCUGCUGGGAGGAUCUUGUGCUGGUCACAGCUGAUUUCCACCCUGGGGCAUGCCUACAUGGCACUGGAGAGUCUCCGGCUACGGGCAGGGCCCAGAGAAGAAGAGUUCACUGCUGGCCUCCGGGACAGGCAGCUCCACGGCAUCUUCCUGAACUGAGCAGAGACUGUGGAGCAGCGGUUCCGGGCUGAUGGAGAGAAUGAUCCAGACUGGGGCCCAGUACCUCCAGCAGAGGUUUGGUGUAGACUGGCCCGCACAGCUUAGGAACAUGGAGGUGUUAGACACCGUGGCCUGGCCUAGCAGGACCCAACUGGCCUGCUUUGGGAACGGACAUUCUCAGCCUUGCCAGGUACUUUGCACUUUCCCAGAGGGAUACAGCGAGGAAGCGCUGCUGAGGGAGUGGGGGAGCUUGAAAGUAACUACCCAGAGCUUCCCCUUCUCUGUGCUGUGUAAGAGCGCCCUGACUCAGCACUGCCGAUUCCCUCUGCUGAGCAGACUCAUGACUGUGGUGGUCUGUGUGCCCAUCUCCACUUCCUGCUGUGAACGGGGUUCAGGGUCACAAGCAGGAUCAGGAUGGAUGAGAGGUCCAAACUCUCCAACGAGGUGCUCAACACACUCAUGGUGACAGCAGUGAAUGAUGUGGAAGUUAGAGAGUAUGACCCUCAGCCAGCCAGCCAGCACUGGUACCUGACCUCUUCAGGACACUGCUUCAGCCACACCUACGCCUGUGCCCAGGCACCUACCUGCUCCAUGCCAGGCUCGGGAAGCAGGGCGUGGCAGCACUUUGUAAGGAGGACUCCAUGGCCCAGAAGGCAUCCAUCACACCAUCUGGGGAGCCAUGAGGUUUAGAAAAAUCACAUGGUGAAGGUUCCUGUGCCCUAUACCAUCUCAAAGACCCCAUGGACCUGAAGAGGAGUGGCCUAGACAAGGCUUUGAGGCCCCCUUGAAUAUGGAGAGAGGCUUUCUGAAGAUUUUAGGCUGUCCUGGUGUGAUAACUUAGGGCCCAGAAUGUGGGCAGUGACAAAGGAUUGAAGCAGACAUCCCGAGGGGCAAGGCCUUCAAGGUGCAGCCACGCCUUCCAGUGCAAAAGCAUGCCAGAGCAGCCCUUACCUCAAGUCCAUUUUGCCCGAAGAAUCCUGCCAUGAAGAGUUCUUCCCACAUACUCUGAAGUGGCAGAGCAGGGGCGGCUGGCGGCAGGGGCACCCUAGUUCUCCACAUCCCUUGCACAAGUGAGGAAAGUCAUUUGACGGUGGAAAUCACUGUGCUCCCAGGACCAUGUCCUGCUGCAGAAGCUCCCAGGAUUGGCCAUUCUGAACCACUCAUGCUGUAGAAUCAAGGCGACCCUACUCCUCAACGCCUGCCUUUAGCGUGAAACAGUCCAACAUCCUUUGUUAUCAGCACAGGCUCCCAGUCUAUGCCCUAAGCACACAGCCUCUGACCAAACUGCCUGCCCACCCCAGAGAUUCUGCACGCAGGGAGGCGCCUCAGCAUUCUGCAGACCCUACAGCUCUCCACCCCAGCACUUGGCCUUGGCAUGCAGGGUACAGUUAUCCUGCUCAAGAAGAUCCCCAUCCAGCCUAGAUGCUUGUAGGAAAGGGGCAGACAGGUCUUUGGCUCCAAAUCUAGGAGGUGAACCAGGCAAAAAUCUCAGUCCAGGGAUCUUCCAGGUCAGGGUCGAGCCAUCUGCAUGGCUUCAGCAAGCUUCUCUCCUCUAAAAAUACCCUCAGCAAGACAGCAGCCCUGUGCAAUGUAGCCAUGGUUUCUGGAAUGAGGUUUGGGGAGCUGAGGGGCUACCAGGUGGAGAAGCAGCCUGAGGUCACCUCCUGGUGUGGAGCAGGAUAUUUCCAGGCUAAGAAACACAGGGUGGUUGCCAUGCAUUGAGCAGGUUCCUUAGCCAAGGUGUCUUACUCAGGUUUUCCUGACCCUAUGCUAGCUCGAGGCAGAGAGAAGCAAUGAUCGUAUUUGGGCCCCGAAGGGGGAGGAGCACAUGAUGAGCACCCUCACCUUGCACUUGUGCUCAGGCUGGUCCUGUUUUGCUCUUAAGUGGCUGCAUUUCACUGGGUGCAUCUGGCUUCGCCUUAGGGGAAAACAAGGCACAGGGCAUUGGGAGGAGGAGGAGGAGGAGGCACUACCCCCUUUGGCCUCAGCCCUGGGCCUCCCCUUCUUUCCUGCCUUUUAACAUGCUUGACCCCCCUGCCCCUCUCCACCUGCCUGUCUCUGUGUAACCCCUGCUGCCCUGAAGUUUGCUAUGCAUAUGGGCUGGCCUUGAACUCACAGAGAUCCACCUGCCUUUGCCUCCCGGGUGCUGGGAUUAAAGGCUUGCAGCACCCUGGCUCCUGUUCUCAUCUUCUGUAUUUCCUGGCUUGUAUCCCUCCCCUCGCCUGCUGCUCCAAGGGGCCAACACUGGGCUCAGCACUUUGAUUUCAGUAGCCAUAGAGACUUGGGCAGCGGGGAAGCUCAGCCCUGAGCAGCUGAACACAGUAGAGCGUAGCCACCUCCAGACCUGGUACCGCCACGGGCAAGUCCUAGGGUGCUAAGUGUGGUCAGGACUGGCGUCUGUGUAGCCAGGCACAAAGAUGAUUGGACCAGGAUGCUCUGGGCUCCUGCUUUCAAGGAUGUACAAAUUAGGUUUAAAAAACCCUGUCUUAACGUUUGCUAUCUGAAUAAAGCAGAAUUUGACUUUA